CUCAGGAAUGCAAUAUAAUAUUAAUUUACGAUCCUGUUUGUGGUACAGACGAAAUUACUUAUAUAAAUCGAUCACAUCUACAAUGCGCGCAAUGUUGUGGAAAAAAUGUAACAGUAAAAUGUUCUGGAAGCUGUAUACAAUGUGCAACUGAAUAACUUAUGGUUUUCAUUGUAAUACAAUUUAUCAUAAUAAAUGUUUUAAUCAAAAUUGGCAAAUGUAAGAAAAAUAAACAUGU